UACGUAGGGUGCAAGCGUUAAUCGGAAUUACUGGGCGUAAAGCGUGCGCAGGCGGCUUUGCAAGACAGAUGUGAAUCCCCGGGCUUAACCUGGGAACUGCAUUUGUGACUGCAUGGCUAGAGUGCGGCAGAGGGGAUGGAAUUCCGGCGUGUAGCAGUGAAAUGCGUAGAUAUGCGGAGGAACACCGAUGGCGAAGGCCAAUCCCCUGGGCCUGCACUGACGCUCAUGCACGAAAGCGUGGGGAGCAAACAGG
rnacentral:rRNA from 1 species